rnacentral:rRNA from 1 species
CAGAGGUCCCGAGCGUUGUUCGGAUUCACUGGGCGUAAAGGGUGCGCAGGUGGUUUGGCAAGUUUGAUGUGAAAGCCCCGGGCUUAACCCGGGAAUGGCAUUGAAUACUGCUUGAACUGGAGGGUUGGAGGGGGGACUGGAAUUCUUGGUGUAGCAGUGAAAUGCGUAGAUAUCAAGAGGAACACCAGUGGCGAAGGCGAGUCCCUGGACAAACCCUGACACUGAGGCACGAAAGCCAAGGGAGCAAACAGGAUUAGAUACCCUGGUAGUCUUGGCUGUAAACGGUGCGCAUUUGCUGUAAACGGAAUCGACCCCGUUUGUGGCGAAGCUAACGCGUUAAAUGCGCCGCCUGGGAAGUACGGUCGCAAGAUUA